UGUUGCUCCACUCAAACAGAGCAUUUGUCAGGUGUGAGAGAAACAAGCAGAACCAGCCUCAUGACCAAGGUCACCUAACAACAUCACAAGACGAUGACAUCACCAUCAGCUCUGGCCCAGAGCUCAAAUAACGGAGGGAAAGGGCAGGUCAUCCUCACGGCAGGGUGACAGAGCUGGUGCCAGGCCUCUGCCAACUAUCAGGGCCCAGGAGUGUUGCUGAAAGCUACCCAGGAGCAGCUCAUCCCUGCCUCCGCUCAGCCAGCGCUCUCACAUGCUCAGAACAGUAGAGUCUCACCAACAGGGGUCCCCACCCCCACCUUUUCCUAGAAGCAAGGUUAGCAACUGCCAGAGUCAAAAUAGAUGUGGAGAGAAUUGUGUGGCAACACUCGGGUUUAGUUCAAGCACACUGGAUUGCACGAUAUCCUUAGAGGGCAGAGCCAUUGCAGGAGGGAUCAAAGCAGCCGGCCUUGCUCUUCGGGCUGAUGUUUCUGCCAUGCUGCAUGUCAAACAAUCAUGUCUUUGGAGCCCAGAUGCCCUGCUUUGUAGGUAAGCCACGUGUAGAACUUCAUGUAAGGAAUCAUUCUGUCAAAGUAAAUAGUUGUCCCAAACUAUUUAUUUCAUGUGCUCUGGUGGCCUGCACCUGUAUUCUCACAAUACACACAAACACACAUACACACACACCAUUUUACCAAUGUGCACAUACAUAUAUAUAUUUUUUCAGGUGACAGAAAGCUGGCUAACCCACAACUACCAAGGAGAAGCAAAGAUAAAGGCAAUUGCCCAUGAAUGGUAAAAAUGAAUUAGGGCCCAAAUAGAUGGAUGGUAAAAACGCCACCUCUUCUCCCAACAAGCGACAUAGUCACUACUGAGAGGAGACCGAUGGCAGAGUAGACCAGCGAGGUGGAGUCCUCCUUAACCCAGCUAUCCCACA
rnacentral:lncRNA from 1 species